GUGGGGAAUCUUGCGCAAUGGGCGAAAGCCUGACGCAGCCAUGCCGCGUGAAUGAUGAAGGUCUUAGGAUUGUAAAAUUCUUUCACCGGGGACGAUAAUGACGGUACCCGGAGAAGAAGCCCCGGCUAACUUCGUGCCAGCAGCCGCGGUAAUACGAAGGGGGCUAGCGUUGCUCGGAAUUACUGGGCGUAAAGGGCGCGUAGGCGGACAGUUUAGUCAGAGGUUAAAGCCAAGGGCUCAACCUUGGAAUUGCCUUUGAUACUGGCUGUCUUGAGUACGGGAGAGGUGAGUGGAACUCCGAGUGUAGAGGUGAAAUUCGUAGAUAUUCGGAAGAACACCAGUGGCGAAGGCGACUCACUGGCCCGUUACUGACGCUGAGGCGCGAAAGCGUGGGGAGCAAACAGGAUUAGAAACCCCGGUAGUCC
rnacentral:rRNA from 1 species